CUGCGGAAGGAUCAUUACC
rnacentral:rRNA from 2 species